rnacentral:rRNA from 1 species
CGCCCGCCGCGCGCGGCGGGCUACGGGAGGCAGCAGUGGGGAAUAUUGCACAAUGGGCGCAAGCCUGAUGCAGCCAUGCCGCGUGUAUGAAGAAGGCCUUCGGGUUGUAAAGUACUUUCAGCGGGGAGGAAGGCGUUGUGGUUAAUAACCGCAGCGAUUGACGUUACCCGCAGAAGAAGCACCGGCUAACUCCGUGCCAGCAGCCGCGGUAAUA